rnacentral:rRNA from 1 species
CGAGCGCAACCCUCGUCAUUAGUUGUCCAUCAGUUUAGUUGGGUCACUCUAAUGAGACUGCCGGUGACAAACCGGAGGAAGGUGGGGAUGACGUCAAGUCCUCAUGGCCCUUAUGGGUAGGGCUUCACACGUCAUACAAUGGUCGGUACAGAGGGUUGCCAAGCCGCGAGGUGGAGCCAAUCCCUUAAAGCCGAAUCGUAGUCCGGAUCGUAGUCUGCAACUCGACUACGUGAAGUCGGAAUCGCUAGUAAUCGCAGAUCAGCAUGCUGCGGUGAAUACGUUCCCGGGUCUU